CGCCUACUCCCUCCGUUCGAAAUUACUUGUCGCGGAAAUGGAUGUAUCUAGACGUAUUUUAGUUUUAUAUACAUUCAUUUCCGAGACAAGUAAUUCCGAACGGAGGGAGUACAUG
rfam:Triticum aestivum genome assembly, contig: Triticum_aestivum_CS42_TGACv1_scaffold_577824_7BL